rnacentral:lncRNA from 1 species
UUAAAAUAGUUUUCAUAGAGUUUAAGGGUAUUAAUAGAUAUUUUCUCUUUUGAAUGUAUGUUACGUUACACACGUAACUUAGUGUUAGCCUUUUAUUUUUUAAGAUCUACGUAAUGAUAAGACGUGGAUUACGAAAUAAGCAACUAAAGAGCAACAUACACGGCGUUAAUCCGAACAACUUAAAACUGAAAGAAGUCUACGUGUCGAAGUUUAAAACGUUGAAAGUCUACCUCUAAACAUAAAAGAAAACCCCAGAAUUUUGGUGACCUCCUUCGUUAUAUUCGUUUUAAUUUGAAAGGAUCAUCGACUUAUUCAACAUUAUGUACAUGGAAAGAUGAUAAGGCAAAAUCUAAUAUUAGAUUGUAUUCAAUGAAUAUUUUAUAGAACCGGCCAACGUUUAACAAAGUUGAGUUAAUUUUGACAAAAUCAUUAAAACUCUUUAGUUUAAAAUUGACAAUUUUUUUAAUUUCAGUGACAAACAAGGGAUAGGAACAGGGAGGGCCUAGUUGUUUAGAUCCAAGUAGAAUGUGGUCCACCACUCCGAUAGCCCCCGACUGUGGAAAGAAUAAUAAUAAUAAUAAUAAUAAUCUAAAAUUCAUGUUUCUAUUAAAAAAAAAAAAGAUUACGACGUUUUAACCUCAAAAUAAGAACGCUUUGUCUUCAGAAUUCUAAUUUGUCCUUCAAUUUCUAUUCUGAUCUGCCGUGCUCACUUUUGCGGUGGUAUAAAUUAUCAAACCCUCUGCUUUGAUUUGAUUUGCAAUUGGGGUAAUAACAUCAUCAUUGUCCCUAAAUUUAUAUAAUUUCUCAAUUAAUGAUAUCAACCCAUACGGUAUUGAAUUUCCCUCCCCACCUCACGUCACAUUUCAAUAGGGGUUCCCGAGUUAGUUACUUGUAUUUAAGUAGUUUGAGAUGUAUUUGAUACAGGUAGAUAGAUUAUGUCUUUUCUUGAUAUAUUGUAAGACGAUAGGGAGUCUAAUGUUUUUAUCCGAUUCGGGAUUGGAAAGUGAUUACGGCAAAAGUUUCAAUUUAAAGCACAAUGAUUGGAAAAGAUAUGUAUAAAUAAAAAAAGGAGCAAGAAAUAGUAAUAACAACAACAAUAAAAUAAUCUAUUUCUUUGGUUUAUUGAAGAAAGUUGUAGCGGAGGCUCAUGCCUUUUGCUGAUGGGUAACCCAUU